CCUACGGGAGGCUGCAGUGGGGAAUAUUGCACAAUGGGGGAAACCCUGAUGCAGCGACGCCGCGUGAGUGAAGAAGUAAUUCGUUAUGUAAAGCUCUAUCAGCAGGGAAGAAAAUGACGGUACCUGAGUAAGAAGCCCCGGCUAACUACGUGCCAGCAGCCGCGGUAAUACGUAGGGGGCAAGCGUUAUCCGGAUUUACUGGGUGUAAAGGGAGCGUAGACGGCAGUUCAAGUCAGAAGUGAAAGGCGAGGGCUCAACCUUCGGACUGCUCUUGAAACUGUGCAGCUAGAGUGCAGGAGAGGUAAGUGGAAUUCCUAGUGUAGCGGUGAAAUGCGUAGAUAUUAGGAGGAACACCAGUGGCGAAGGCGGCUUACUGGACUGUAACUGACGUUGAGGCUCGAAAGCGUGGGGAGCAAACAGGAUUAGAUACCCGAGUAGUC
rnacentral:rRNA from 1 species